AUUGAACGCUGGCGGCAUGCCUUACACAUGCAAGUCGAACGGCAGCACGGGAGCAAUCCUGGUGGCGAGUGGCGAACGGGUGAGUAAAGUAUCGGAACGUGCCCAGUCGUGGGGGAGAACGUAGCGAAAGUUACGCUAAUACCGCAUACGAUCUAUGGAUGAAAGCGGGGGAUCGCAAGACCUCGCGCGAUUGGAGCGGCCGAUAUCAGAUUAGGUAGUUGGUGGGGUAAAGGCUCACCAAGACGACAAUCUGUAGCUGGUCUGAGAGCACGACCGGCCACACUGGGACUGAGACACGGCCCAGACUCCUAGGGGAGGCAGCAGUGGGGAAUUUUGGACAAUGGGCGCAAGCCUAAUCCAGCCAUGCCGCGUGCAGGAUGAAGGCCUUCGGGUUGUAAACUGCUUUUGUACGGAACGAAAAGGUUUGACUUAAUACGUUGGACUCAUGACGGUACCGUAAGAAUAAGCACCGGCUAACUACGUGCCAGCCGCCGCCGUAA
rnacentral:rRNA from 1 species